GGUGACGAGUUGUCUUUUGGAUGACGAAGUGGUUGAUGCCAUGCUUCCAGGAAAAGCUUCUAAGCUUCAGGUAACUAGGAACCGUACCCCAAACCGACACAGGUGGUUGGGUAGAGAAUACCAAGGCGCUUGAGAGAACUCGGGUGAAGGAACCAGGCAAAAUGGCACCGUAACUUCGGGAGAAGGUGCGCCGGUGAGGGUGAAGUAUUUACUACGUAAGCCCAUGCCGGUCGAAGAUACCAGGCCGCUGCACUGUUUAUUAAAAACACAGCACUCUGCAAACACGAAAGUGGACGUAUAGGGUGUGACGCCUGCCCGGUGCCGGAAGGUUAAUUGAUGGGGUUAGCUAACGCGAAGCUCUUGAUCGAAGCCCCGGUAAACGGCGGCCGUAACAAUAACGGUCCUAAGGUAGCGAAAUUCCUUGUCGGGUAAGUUCCGACCUGCACGAAUGGCGUAACGAUGGCGGCGCUGUCUCCACCCGAGACUCAGUGAAAUUGAAAUCGCUGUGAAGAUGCAGUGUAUCCGCGGCUAGACGGAAAGACCCCGUGAACCUUUACUAUAGCUUUGCACUGGACUUUGAAUUUGCUUGUGUAGGAUAGGUGGGAGGCUUUGAAGCGUGAACGCCAGUUUGCGUGGAGCCAAUCUUGAAAUACCACCCUGGCAACUUUGAGGUUCUAACUCUGGUCCGUUAUCCGGAUCGAGGACAGUGUAUGGUGGGUAGUUUGACUGGGGCGGUCUCCUCCUAAAGAGUAACGGAGGAGUACGAAGGUGCGCUCAGACCGGUCGGAAAUCGGUCGUAGAGUAUAAAGGCAAAAGCGCGCUUGACUGCGAGACAGACACGUCGAGCAGGUACGAAAGUAGGUCUUAGUGAUCCGGUGGUUCUGUAUGGAAGGGCCAUCGCUCAACGGAUAAAAGGUACUCCGGGGAUAACAGGCUGAUACCGCCCAAGAGUUCAUAUCGACGGCGGUGUUUGGCACCUCGAUGUCGGCUCAUCACAUCCUGGGGCUGAAGCCGGUCCCAAGGGUAUGGCUGUUCGCCAUUUAAAGUGGUACGCGAGCUGGGUUUAGAACGUCGUGAGACAGUUCGGUCCCUAUCUGCCGUGGACGUUUGAGAUUUGAGAGGGGCUGCUCCUAGUACGAGAGGACCGAAGUGGACGAACCUCUGGUGUUCCGGUUGUCACGCCAGUGGCAUUGCCGGGUAGCUAUGUUCGGGAAAGAUAACCGCUGAAAGCAUCUAAGCGGGAAACUUGCCUCAAGAUGAGAUCUCACUGGAACCUUGAGUUCCCUAAAGGGCCGUCGAAGACUACGACGUUGAUAGGUUGGGUGUGUAAGCGCUGUGAGGCGUUGAGCUAACCAAUACUAAUUGCC
rnacentral:rRNA from 1 species